UCAAGGGCAAACCUGUCGAGAGGCAGGGGCGCAAAACCACGGAUCUGGACUGUACGUCAAGAUGGCCGGGUUGCCGG
rnacentral:ncRNA from 1 species